GCUGGGCAUGGUGGCACAUGCCUGUAAUCCCAGCUACUUGGGAGGCUGAGGCUGGAGAAUCGCUUGAACCCAGGAGGUGGAGGUUGCAGUGAGCCAAGAUGGCACCACUGCACUCCAGCCUGGGCGACAGAGCGAGACUCUGUCUCAG
ensembl:misc_RNA Metazoa_SRP Metazoan signal recognition particle RNA